GAUGAACGCUGGCUACAGGCUUAACACAUGCAAGUCGAGGGGAAACGACGGGGAAGCUUGCUUCCCCGGGCGUCGACCGGCGCACGGGUGAGUAACGCGUAUCCAACCUGCCUCUGACUGAGGGAUAACCCGUCGAAAGUCGGCCUAAUACCUCAUGGCAUCGUCUGCGGGCAUCCAACGACGAUUAAAGAUUUCAUCGGUCAGAGAUGGGGAUGCGUCUGAUUAGCUUGUUGGCGGGGUAACGGCCCACCAAGGCGACGAUCAGUAGGGGUUCUGAGAGGAAGGUCCCCCACAGUGGAACUGAGACAAGGGCCAAACUCCUACGGGAGGCAGCAGUGAGGAAUAUUGGUCAAUGGGAGAGAGCCUGAACCAGCCAAGUAGCGUGCAGGAUGACGGCCCUAUGGGUUGUAAACUGCUUUUAUGCGGGGAUAAAGUGAGGGACGUGUCCUUCAUUGCAGGUACCGCAUGAAUAAGAACCGGCUAAUUCCGUG
rnacentral:rRNA from 1 species